rnacentral:rRNA from 1 species
CCAGACUCCUACGGGAGGCAGCAGUGGGGAAUAUUGCACAAUGGGGGAAACCCUGAUGCAGCGACGCCGCGUGAGUGAAGAAGUAAUUCGUUAUGUAAAGCUCUAUCAGCAGGGAAGAAAAUGACGGUACCUGAGUAAGAAGCCCCGGCUAACUACGUGCCAGCAGCCGCGGUAAUACGUAGGGGGCAAGCGUUAUCCGGAUUUACUGGGUGUAAAGGGAGCGUAGACGGCAGUGCAAGUCUGGAGUGAAAGGCGGGGGCUCAACCCCCGGACUGCUCUGGAAACUGUACGGCUGGAGUGCAGGAGAGGUAAGUGGAAUUCCUAGUGUAGCGGUGAAAUGCGUAGAUAUCACGAAGAACCCCGAUUGCGAAGGCAGCCUGCCGCAGCGUUACUGACGCUGAAGCUCGAAAGCGCGGGUAUCGAACAGGAUUAGAUACCCGAGUA